rnacentral:rRNA from 1 species
CCAGAAGCGGGGGAUAACACCUGGAAACAGAUGCUAAUACCGCAUAACAACUUGGACCGCAUGGUCCGAGCUUGAAAGAUGGCUUCGGCUAUCACUUUUGGAUGGUCCCGCGGCGUAUUAGCUAGAUGGUGGGGUAACGGCUCACCAUGGCAAUGAUACGUAGCCGACCUGAGAGGGUAAUCGGCCACAUUGGGACUGAGACACGGCCCAAACUCCUACGGGAGGCAGCAGUAGGGAAUCUUCCACAAUGGACGAAAGUCUGAUGGAGCAACGCCGCGUGAGUGAAGAAGGGUUUCGGCUCGUAAAACUCUGUUGUUAAAGAAGAACAUAUCUGAGAGUAACUGUUCAGGUAUUGACGGUAUUUAACCAGAAAGCCACGGCUAACUACGUGCCAGCAGCCGCGGUAAUACGUAGGUGGCAAGCGUUGUCCGGAUUUAUUGGGCGUAAAGCGAGCG